UACGUAGGGCGCAAGCGUUGUCCGGAAUUAUUGGGCGUAAAGAGCUCGUAGGCGGUUUGUCGCGUCUGCUGUGAAAACCUAAGGCUCAACCUUGGGCUUGCAGUGGGUACGGGCAGACUAGAGUGCGGUAGGGGUGACUGGAAUUCCUGGUGUAGCGGUGAAAUGCGCAGAUAUCAGGAGGAACACCGGUGGCGAAGGCGGGUCUCUGGGCCGAUACUGACGCUGGAGGAGCGGAAAGCCGUGGGGAGCGAAACAGG
rnacentral:rRNA from 1 species